CUGCUGCAACGAUGCCAGCUGCAGUAGGGGAGGCGCCGCCAGAGUUGCAUGCUCUGUGGAGCAGGCUGGACACAGGAAAAGG
rnacentral:miRNA from 10 species